ACCAAUCACUGACUGUUUGUGUUUUCUCUUCUGCCUCUUAGGAUGACGGUUUCUGCCGAAGAUUCUGUGGUUUUUUUGUGCCUCUGGUUAAUUCUUGUCAUGUUCUGAGGAUCAAGGUAAUUGAAGCCUCAAUUGUCUCAGCUGUGAGCCUCCUCUCUGCCUCCUUCCCGGACCCAGGCUUUUUAGAUCAGUAUUCACCUGUUUCUGAGAAUCAUUCACCUGCCUGUCCACCCUCCCACGGAAAUACCAUUUUAUGGAAAAGGAUCAAGAAACAAAGAAACACUGAGCCUGAAAAGCCUGGAAACACUUUCCCCUUCAACUGCACCCAUCUGCUAACCUCAACCAUCAUGGAACAGAAUUAUUCCUCCCUGGGUUUUUCUGAGAGUCCUGCCUUCUGAAACCCCAAUCCUAUCGCUGAUCCAGUCCUGGUUCCAGAUCACAUUUGCUCAUGUAAAAUCUAAUAAACUGUUAAAACGUU